rnacentral:rRNA from 1 species
AUGCUCUUCGUCAAGCUUGAUAUUGCAAAGGCGUUUGACACUGUGUCCUGGCCAUACCUGCUUGACAUGCUCCGCGCGAGGGGGUUUGGUUCGCGGUGGUGCGAGUGGAUGGCCAUGCUACUUGCGUCAUCUUCAUCGCGUGUGUUGGUCAACGAAGUGCCUGGCCAGCUCAUUAUACACUGGUGCGGAUUACGACAGGGUGACCCGUUGUCACCAUUCCUCUUCAUCCUCGCUAUGGAGCCCCUUUAG